GACGAACGCUGGCGGCGUGCUUAACACAUGCAAGUCGAACGGAAAGGUCCUGCUUUUGUGGGGUGCUCGAGUGGCGAACGGGUGAGUAACACGUGAGUAACCUGCCCUUGCCUUUGGGAUAACUUCAGGAAACUGGGGCUAAUACCGGCUAGGAGCUCCUGCUGCAUGGUGGGGGUGGGUAAGUUUCGGCGGUUGGGGAUGUACUCGCGGCUUAUCAGCUUGUUGGUGGGGUAGUGGCUUACCAAGGCUUUGACGGGUAGCCGGCCUGAGAGGGUGACCGGCCACAGUGGGACUGAGAUACGGCCCAGACUCCUACGGGAGGCAGCAGUGGGGGAUAGUGCACAAUGGGCGGAAGCCUGAUGCAGCAACGCCGCGUGCGGGAUGACGGCCUUCGGGUUGGAAACCGCUUUCGCCUGUGACGAAGCGUGAGUGACGGUAAUGGGUAGAGAAGCACCGGCUAACUACGUG
rnacentral:rRNA from 1 species